rnacentral:rRNA from 1 species
AUUGAACGCUGGCGGCAUGCCUUACACAUGCAAGUCGAACGGCAGCACGGGGCAACCUGGUGGCGAGUGGCGAACGGGUGAGUAAUGCAUCGGAACGUACCUUUCAGUGGGGGAUAACGUAGCGAAAGUUACGCUAAUACCGCAUAUUCUGUGAGCAGGAAAGCAGGGGAUCGCAAGACCUUGCGCUGAUUGAGCGGCCGAUGUCAGAUUAGCUAGUUGGUGAGGUAAAGGUUCACCAAGGCGACGAUCUGUAGCGGGUCUGAGAGGAUGAUCCGCCACACUGGAACUGAGACACGGUCCAGACUCCUACAGGAGGCAGCAGUGGGGAAUUUUGGACAAUGGGGGCAACCCUGAUUCAGCCAUGCCGCGUGAGUGAAGAAGGCCUUCGGGUUGUAAAGCUCUUUCGGCCGGGAAGAAAUCGCACGGGCUAAUACCCUGUGUGGAUGACGGUACCGGAAUAAGAAGCACCGGCUAACUACGUGCCAGCCGCCGCAGUAACAC